UACCUAAGAAAUUUAUUGUUAAAUAUUGUAAACAAAAAGAAGAACAUCCGCACCUAGAAACUAAUGUCAAUGAAAAUAUUCAACUAGGAAAUAAUAUUAUGCUAUAUCCAAAUUUAACGACCUGAGGACAGGCCAAAUUCAAAGGUUGGGGGAGUGACAUAUCCAUAAGUCCGUCCCAUAAUUUAAACAUUCUUUGCUUAAGCCCUCACCCCAUCGUCACGUUCCCACGUACUUAUUAACUAUAUUUAUUAAAACUCCCGCAACGAUAACACCACACCGGUCUUGGACGAAAAAUAUAUCCGAUGGACGAACAUUAACGAGGAAGUUGAUGAGGUAACCCCAAUGAUCAUAUUCCAUCUUCAAAAGCUCCGAAUCGAACAUUUCCAGUUACCCGACAUAAAAGAAUAUAUUUGCAUAAAACCAUUCUUUAGUACAUAUAAGGUUGGAUUGUACCUUACCGAUGGAAUAGUAUAUAAUCUUAGAAGUAUAGCUCGAAAUGGAAAUGCCUUUAUGACAUAUCAAAAAAAAACAUUUCUAUGCCGGUUUUAUUUAAAAAUAAAGAAGCUACAGCAUGAAAUUUCAUUCGGAGGCUCCGACUUUGGCAAAUCGCUACCAAGCCGAUUAAUUGAAUUGGAGCUUGUGGAAGGCUUUUCAGAAGACGGAUUCCGUAAUCGUCAAUCUAGAAGGGUUCGCGGGAUCGAACAAUGCUGCGAAAAAUUUUCAGUCGGAAUUAGAGGAGCGUGCGAUUAGAGCGAUUAAACAUGCCACAUAUGUCAGCUCCCAAGUUUUUAUGUCAAUGUGUGGACUUUCCAGGGUUCUAUGACGCCUUCACAAGCCUCAUGCACAACAACAACAAUCUGAGUAAUUUGAAAUGUUCGGACUUUCUCAAAGAGUCGUUGCCAUUAGGGCGCGAUGAGACAAAUUACGCCGUGACUUGGGGACUUAUGAUUAAAAGGUGUUUGCCUGGCUGCAUUACGCCGCUUUCAAGCCUUGGAGCAUCGAAGUUGCCCAAGAAGACCCACAACGCUUGGUAGCACCAUCAAGGAUGGUGCCACCGUUUCUACUUGUAAGGAUUUAGAAUCAUUUUUGAAGUAUCGACUGGUCCUAAUGGAUAAGAUUGACAACCGUCGUACGCCUCUUAUUUGAAAUUUUGCCCAGGCUCUACCGACCCGAGCAAACAAGGUCGAUUGCAUAAUGCACAGGAGCGCUCAAGCGCUCGUUGCGCAACCUUUCUGGCCUUGGACUGCUACAAGAGAAAGGAUGUAGUGAACAGGGAAAAAUUAUGUAUUAAUUGCCUGAGCAAAUAGCAUACGCUGUCACGCUGAACCAACAUAAA